rnacentral:rRNA from 1 species
CCCUACGGGGUGCAGCAGUCGCGAAAACUUUACAAUGCACGUAAGUGUGAUAAGAGGAUUCUGAGUGCUCACGUUUUUACGUGGGCUUUUGCCAAGAGUAAAGAUCUUGGCGAAUAAGUGGUGGGCAAGACUGGUGCCAGCCGCCGCGGUAACCCCAGCGCCACAAGUGGGAACCACUAUUAUUGGGUCUAAAGCAUCCGUAGCCUGUUUAGAAAGUUUCUUGUGAAAUCGUUCAGCUCAACUGAACGGCGUGCAGGAAAUACUACUAGACUUGAGACCGGGAGAGGGAGAAGGUAUUCCGUGGGGAGCGGUAAAAUGUUAUAAUCCUCGGAGGACCACCGAUGGCGAAAGCAUUCUUCCAGAACGGAUCUGACGGUGAGGGAUGAAAGCUAGGGGAGCGAUCCGGAUUAGAUACCCGAGUAGUCCUAGCUGUAAACGCUGCGUGCCAGAUGUUGCGCAAUCUUCGGGAUUGUGCAGUGUCGUAAUGAAGAUGUUAAGCACGCCACCUGGGGAGUACGGUCGCAAGGCUGAAACUUAAAGGAAUUGGCGGGGGAGCACUACAACGGGUGCGGCGUGCGGUUUAAUCGAAUUCAACGCCGAAAAUCUCACCAGGGCCGCCGGCCGGAUGAAGGACAGUCUAACGGACUUUCCGGACAAGCCGAGAAGUAGUGCAUGGCC